GUAGUUUAGAAUCAGUAAGGGCCUGGCUCUUUUGGCUGGGGUGUAAUGAUAUACAAACUCUUGUGAGGAUUUGAAACACUAAGCUUCUGCUCUGAAGUUGAUCUCUUCAUCUGUCCAGCCUAGGAUCUAUCUACAUUCCCCCUGGCUACAGGAUCAACUGAUCAGCAGCGUGUCAUAUUGGCCUCUUGUUAAACAUGAAUAGCUGAAGCACCUAGUAAUUGUCUACAGAAGCCACUGACAGGGAUGGAGCUGCAGAGUUCAGAUCCAGGUUUGGAUGUGGGAUCUGUAUUUUGAAACCAGGCCAGGUAGACCCUGCUCACCUGGUGGACCCGGUGGACCUGGAUGCCCACGCUCACCCAUUGGACCCGUCUCUCCUGUAGGACCCUAAGAAAAGACCAAGAGAUACUGAGGGAACAGUUCAAUACUAGAGAAACAAAGAAUGAGAAAAGUCUGUAGAUCAGUGAAUGCCAUUCACAGCUGUACCCAUCCAUCCCCUUUAAUGGGCAGCCCUUUCCUGCUAAUACCCACCCCCAGAGGUGCUAGGACUGAGCAUGCUAUCAAGCUCGCUGGCACUGCGAGUGAGGCCAGUCUCCAGCAACUCCAGUGACUCUUAGGACGGCCCUAGUUAAAUCUGGCAACCCUCAUUCAUGACUGAAAAGCUGCAGAUGCUGGUGCCCAAGCAUGGCUUAUCUCUGUAAAACAUGUGGACCCCAUUUCAGACUCUCUUUUUCUUCUGCCAGCGAUGUUUUCGGGGGAGGCUAGUGCAAUCUUCGGGAAGGCACUGUAAAUGGAAAGCUAAUUCCCUUGGAGUUCUUCAAUAAACACAAUCAGAUGAA